GGCCGCACCUGAGGUGGGGGUGGUGCUCUUUCCGCCAUGUUGGGCUUUGCCCGCCUCUGCCGCCGGCCCUCAGGCGGGUCUGGCGGGGAAAAGUCAUGCCCUGCCCCGCUCUGGUCGCCUGGCGCACGGGGAGCAGCUCGCCGGGCGUUCGGAGAGCCGGAGCUUGGCAGCCGGGGCGGCAGCGAAAAACCUGUGGGGAAAGCUGCGUUGUCUAGAGACAUUCCCGUGUGCUUAGCGCGGAUGGCACUUUGGGAAGCCUAAGCCAACCAUUCCUGCUGCAUGCAUGCCUGAAUUGAUUGCAUUGUUCUGCGGAGCUGAGAGAUUCUCCUUCCUGUUGGUCUGUCCCUGUGUGAAGCAGGACUUCACAGGAUUAGAAUGAGCCAGAAAUUAAAGGAGGAGCCCCUCCCUCAAGUUUGGACAUCCACUUGGAAACCUUUAGAUCCCACUCCCACUUCAAGCGAUUUGUGAGGGCAAGUGUUCCAGCUAAGAGCUUGCAGCUGGACACUGCCUUCGCUAAGAUCAAGCUCUCCUCAGGCUCAGAUUGUCAGGGCUAUUUUCAUGAGAUGAAAGAAAUCUUAAUUAAGUGUUCAUAUCUUUGUCAGCCAGACUCAGAAUAAAAAUUGAUGUGAUUCCCUUGAGCUUCACUGCUUGUUAUACUCUGCAAACGCUGCUUGUUAUACUCAGCAACAAAGAUACUGGGAAGAAUAAUGUGAAUCUCAUUUAACAUCACAAAGAAGCUUUCCACAGCAGGAAUAGCUGAUGUGCAACUAUUGAAUUUGCAUAAAAAAACCCUCUCCACUUUCUCCUCCCUAAAAAAAAAAAAAAAAAAAAA